GCGUCGGAAGCAUUUGCGUCAUGGCGUCGCGUCGUAGCGUUUCUGCGGGCCGCGAGCGGAACGUGACAGCGUUGUGCCCUGCGCAGCGCCCUGGAAACCAAACAGUAAAGCCGGGCGCAGAGGAAGAUUAAAUCUGUCAAAUCCUUCUGUUUUUCACAAGCACAAAAGUCACGUGAAUUUCUUGAUGAAUAGACGAUUGCUACGUUUUCCCGAAGUUUGGAAUUGACUAAUACUGGAAAUCUCUGUGAUUACCUCAAGCUGCUCAGUAAUUACACAAAAUAAAAAUAGACUUAUGGAUAAUGAAUUUUCAAAACUGUAUUUAGAAAUAUCUAUCACUCUUCUUUGAUGGUGAAUGAUGCUGAUGUCUCUACCAUCAGACUCUGCCAUUGUACCCAUACUCUAGCAGCAGGUCUAGUCUGAUGAUGUAGGAUAGGGCUAAGGAAUGGAUCUCAUUUAAAUACAAAUCUCAAAAUUGUAAUUUCUCCCUACAUUCAAAUAGAAACUGCAUCUGUGCAGUCCUAAUCUAUAUGCCAGAUUGUUAAAAUAACAUUCAUAUUUGACUGUUAAUUCUGAUUUAAAUAUAUUUAAAACUCUUUGAA